GACGAACGCUGGCGGCGUGCUUAACACACGCAAGUCGAACGGAAAGGCCUGCUUUCCCUUGUGGAUUGCGGGUACUCGAGUGGCGAACGGGUGGGUAACACGUGAGUGAUCUGCCCCCAACUUGGGUAUAAGCCUGGGAAACUGGGUCUAAUUCCCGAUAGGACUGCAGGGUGGUGCCUGUGGUGGAAAACGAUUUUCUAGUGGUUGGGGAUGAGCUCGCGGCCUAUCAGCUUGUUGGUGGGGUAAUGGCCUACCAAGGCGGCGACGGGUAGCCGGCCUGAGAGGGUGGACGGCCACAUUGGGACUGAGAUACGGCCCAGACUCCGACGGGAGGCAGCAGUGGGGAAUAUUGCACAAUGGGCGGAAGCCUGAUGCAGCGACGCCGCGUGGGGGAUGACGGCCUUCGGGUUGUAAACUCCUUUCGACCGCGAGGAAGCCACCUGGUUGGAAGGGUGGUGACGGUAGUGGUAGAAGAAGCACCGGCUAACUACGUG
rnacentral:rRNA from 1 species